rnacentral:lncRNA from 1 species
CACUAAUGUGAAUAUUUAGGUAUAAUGGUACAAUUUGAAGUGCUUCAUGAAGUUAUGUUGUGCUUUUACAGAUGUCUUACUGUUCUGUCAGAAAAGAAUCUUUGGAGAAGAAGUGGAGAUGAAAGUCAGACCAGGAGACAACAUCACUCUCUACUGUGAUCGCUCUGUAACUCUUGGUUCUGUUGUUGUAUGGAUAAGAAACUGCUCUCAUAGAAAGUCAACCUUCUCUCAUAAUAGAUUAUAAGAAACUGGAACUGGAGAUAUUUCAGCGAUUCAGCUUUAUCCACAACACCUAUAAUAAUUCUCAUGAUCUACAUAUCACUAAUAUCAGUGUCUCUGAUCUGGGACUGUACUACUGUGCAAAAGUAGAGAAAAAGGUAAAUCAAGAUGAAAAAGGCAUCCUCUCCCGGUCUGAGGUGUACUAUAAUGGAAACCAAACAACUCGUCUCUCUCUGGAAUUGACUUCCUGUUCUAAACCCUCUGCACCUCCUGACUGUCUGCUUUGCUGGACGCUGUUGUUCAGUGUGUGUCCGGUGUUUCUUCUCCUCUCCUCCAUAUGUGUGGUCUGCUUCUGUUGUAAGAAAACGACAGAUGCUGCGACAGAUCAGACAGAUAAGUUAAAAGGUAGAAAUACAGCUGAGUGCGUGGAUGAAGAGGUGUGUUAUGCAUCUUUAGAUGUGAUUACCAAGAGACAGAAACAACGCAAGACAAAGCGAGUGCAGAGUUCUGACUUCAGUACUUACGCUCAGGUCAGAACACAAACUGAAUAGACCUAAAACAGAACUGAGGUGGAUUCUGAAAAUUUCCAAACAUAAGAAAAGUUGCAGGUUUCAUUGUCAUGUAACAUCACAUCUAAUCAUACAAGGUAGAGGACUUUUUACUAUUACAUUUGAAUGUAAAAUAUGUAAUUCCAAACUUGGAUACUUUUUUCACAUGUUUUUUUUUUAUCAUCUAAUAAAUUCAAACACGUAAUUUUGUUAUUCUGGUACUGUUGGAGUGCAAGGGUUUUUGUUUUUUUACCUCUAAUAAAAGUGCUUUAGUACAGUCUUUGUGGACACACAGUGAUGAUCUAAAUAACAGGAUGUGGUUUCCUUUGUGAAGUGAUGCUUAUUUUAAAGUGUUUAUUUCUCUUAAACUGAAUGACUGCAAAAUUUAUCUAACCCAGUUUUUCAAUUUAGCCCAAUUUCCAUAAAGCACACUCCAUGCUGAUUAGGAAAGUGUGUUUGGAUAACAGCUUGUGACAAGCAAACAGACUUAAAUUCUUAAAACUUAAAAAAAGAAAAAAAUUCAGAUGCCCACUUUAGAUCCUUCUCAUUAGUAAUAUACAUUCAUUUUCUUAUUUUUAUUUAUUUCCUUUAGAAAUGUGCAUUAGAUCUGUCUGGUUGCUAAUUGUGCAUAAUUUUUUGGAAUAGUUAAAUCAAAUUAAAAUAAAAGCAAAUUUGAAUCAAAUAUUCAAAGCAUCAGAGUUUCUCUUCAAAGGGUUUUUACUCAGUCACACUGUGUUUUUCUCAAGAAAGGGUCUUGUUUUAUUCUCAGUUAAAAAGAUAAGAAUCUUAAACUCAAUGUUUCCAUUCAGUUUAAUGCUUGUGUGCUUAUGAGAGAAAUAGGAAAGAAAAUAGGUAGGACAGAGGUUGAUGUGUGUAAAUGCUUAUGUGGUGAGUUUGUGGUAAAUUUGGUUUGUAUGCAUGCAGUGUUUGCAAAAGCCUUAAUUUCUUUAGAAUGAAUCACAAAGAGCAGGUUUCAGUUUUUGCAAGACAGCACUUUGGACAUUUCCUAUUACUUUGGUAAUGUACACCACGUGACAAUUCAAAUGAUUUUCAUAUGAUGCUCAAGAUUAUCUCAAAACUAAUAUGUGUAAGGAAUAUGCUUCUUCUACCUGUGAAAUUUACUUUUCCACUAUAUUUAAUGGCAUGACAUUGUAUAUUUUCACUUUAUCUGUCCAUUAUCUGUCUAAAAGCGACUUAUUUUGGUGGUCAGAUCAGUCAGUGUGUUUAGUUUUACUAGAGGCCAGAGGGGGGCAGUGUAGGUUUGCUUUUGUAAAAAACGUCAAAGGGGUCAUAUGAUGCGAUUUCAAGUUUUCCUAUCACUUUGGAGUGUUACAAGCUGUUUGUGAAUAGAUAAGAUCCCUAAAGUUGCAAACUAAAGUCGCAAACCCAAAGAGAUAUUCUUUAUAAAAGUUAAGACAUGUAUACAUCAUGAUUUGGGAAGAUUUGCAUAACGCUGCCCAAAUGUUCAUGCAAAGAAAGAAGCUGUAACUUUAUUGUUGCUGCCACUGCUGCCCCGCCGCCAUGUUGUGAAGACGCUGUGUUUCAUUGCGAAAGUGAAAAUACUUAGUUCCAAAAGAGGACAUGACUAGAAAUCAGUGGUUAAGUUGUAUUACAACACUGUUCCAGAACAGUUCAACCCAAAUAUUCAGAUGUGUGCAGCGCAUUUUAUGGAGGACUGUUUCCUGAUUCUGAGAGAGAAGACUACAAUGCCGGCUGUUCUGACUCACAGCCUGUAAGUACGUUUUCAUAUUUAAAGAAUUUGCCACUGAUGAUUCAAACGCAAGUUUUGAGCAGUGUAGAGUAGUGCUUGUAGUUUGUCAUUUCUCCGAUCACAAAUGCAUUAUGUAUUGUUGUUUAUGGGGUGAAUAAGUUGGUAUGUGUGUGUGUUUCAGGCCCUGUCAUUAAAAUGACCAGUAGUCAGCGCUUAAUGGAGUUUCUGCAAAAAGUGUUUUACUCUUCAGUCCAACAUAAAAUACAUUCCAUACAUUUUUAAGGAUAAUAAAGAUCAACAAAUGAUCAGUCCUUGUGUUUUUUUGAAUACAACUGUUUAGCUUUAUAUUUUAGAAAUCAGUACCACCAGUUUUACACUGUAGGCAUUUUUAGGUUUGUCACCAUUACAGCACCACCUAACUUAGCUUCCCAAUGUAUGCUACAUUUAUGUUAAGGUUUGUAUUACCUAUUAAAGGGUACCUAUUAUUGCAAAAUCCACUUUUACAUGGACAUAAAUGUGUGUUGGCAGUGUUUGAACACAACCACCCUACAAUGAUUAAAAAUCCACCCACUCCUUAUUUUAAAAUCCCAUGAACCAUAUCCGUCUCAGUUAUAGACAUGCCAUUUUGAUUCUCUGAGCAGUGUGACAUCACAUUGUUUAGGACGCAAUAACAGAUAAUCCUGCAUUACCACCAUAGUUUCCUGCCUCAGCGAGUUGUCUUAUAUGCUGUCCUCCAUUUUCUCCACGCUUGAGCAGCUGUAACAUUGACAAUGUCUCGUAAAUAAUCCUGGUGUUCUGUGUUUGGAUGUAAGAAUAAACAUAAGAGUUUUCAUUUCUCCCAAAAUCUGAGCCACUGAGGACACAGUGGAUUACUUUUAUUUUUGAAGAUAAUGCACCUCAAAAUCUACCUAAAUACUUUUAUGUCCUGUUACAUUCUCAUAGGUGUUUCUUCUGCCAGAGUCUCUCCUUCAUCUGUGUCUGACUCCAGUUAAUACAUUGCUUCUACCAGCUGUUUAUUGCAGUAGGCAUGCAAAGCAGAGAUGUAUACGCUACAUUCUUUUCUGAAGAUGGGGCAGGAAUACGCAUCUUAUUUGCAUUUAAAUGAUACACACCAAAACAGCUCUUUUUUAGACACACCCCAAAACAAUAAAAUUUUCUAUGUUAUAAUAAAGGAUCUGUGGGGUAUUUGAGCUGAAACUUCACAGACACAUUAUGGGGACAUCAAAGACCAAUAUCACGUCUUGUAAAAAGGGGCAUAAUUGGUGCCCUUUAAAUAAUUUUAAAUUAUGCCAAGCCCAGAACAAUUCAUUUAGAGGUUGCUGUUUUGACCUCAAAGUUUUUGUUCAUCUCAUGUUCUUGAUUUUUGUUUAAAAAUGGAACAUUAGAGAAAAAAAUCAUAGAAUAAAAUACAAUAUACAAUAAUAAUAAUAAUAAUAAUAAUAAUAAUAAUAAUAAUUAAUCAAAAUGAUAGAAAAGGUUCACAUUGUUGUAAAAGUAGAAUUUUUGUUAAAUGUAACAAAUGUAAUGUAAAUACCAUCUUUGUGCAUUUUUCUAGAUUCACUUUCAGUAACAAAGAACCAGUAGAAAUUCAGCACAUUGGACAGCUCCCAGUGCUGAAAGGAUUGGAUAACAGACAUCUGCUGAAUAUUUUCUUACGUAUAUGAGGCCAUCCCUCCAUAAUGUUGAGAAAGUAUUAAGAAAAUCCGCAUCGGCAUUAGCACCUUACAGACAUAGCUAAAGAGCAUAUUCAGCUUGUAUCUGACAACAAUAAAUCACAUACUGCUGUGUUUGGCCUCUGGAGGUUGAUUUGAGGAUAUCUUGACUGUUAUUGACUGUUAUUCCUCAUGAGGCAGGGAUUACUGUACAUUUUUGUUACUUUUGAAUGUAACAGUUACAUUUUUAAAAUGUAGUACGAAACCCCCCCCCCCCCCAAAAAAAAAAAAAAAAAGCGGAGAGCGCUGGCGUGCCGACCAGCAGCGGAGAGCGCUGCGUGCCGAACCAGCAGCGGAGAGCGCUGGCG